UACGUAGGGGGCAAGCGUUGUCCGGAUUUAUUGGGCGUAAAGAGCGCGCAGGCGGCUGGUCAAGUCCGAUGUGAAAUCUCCCGGCUCAACUGGGAAACUGCAUCGGAAACUGAUCGGCUUGAAGAUGGGAGAGGGUAGUGGAAUUCCCGGUGUAGUGGUGAAAUGCGUAGAUAUCGGGAGGAACACCAAUGGCGAAGGCAGCUCGCUGGGACGGUACUGACGCUGAGGCGCGAAAGCGUGGGGAGCAAACAGGG
rnacentral:rRNA from 1 species